CAGAUAUCUAAAGAGAGAAAUGUUACCGAGUAGCCGUUGGCCUUCAUCACGAACGGACUAUAUGAGUAGAGACGAGGGAGAGCACAUUUGACCGAGAGUACCUAGUAAAUAGCAGAGCUACAGCCAUAAUCAGGCACCAGGAACCCUGCAUGAACGGAUUCCAUCGUAAAGCAUCAUCUCUCCCUUUUAUUUAUCACCACCCGAUCGUGGAGUAAGCAAUUGCUAUGCACAUUGCCAGAUCUCGAUCAAAUUGAAGAGAUCAGUAGCCGGUUAAUCGUUAAGCAGGCAAGACCUGGGCAAUUUAAAAAACGAGUUAAAGUUAAUGUGCCUGACUGGCAAUUUUUAGUGAGACAUUUGAUUCGGGAAGCAAUGGUGGAUGUGUUUGGCUAAAGUGAUGAGACAGCCAACUAAAAAAGCCUUGUCCUAAAUCCUGGAAUCAGCAAAGUGGUUGUGAUGGAGUAAACAGGUGAUGAUUUUGAGAUCGGCCUUUCAUUCCAAUACCAAAUCC